GGAUAUUCGCUGCAAGUGGAUGAAUCAAGCAUGACAGGCGAGAGUGACCACGUGGAAGUAGAUACCACCAGGAACCCAUUCCUUUUUUCUGGUUCAAAGGUGGUAGAUGGAUAUGCUCAAAUGCUCGUAGCAUCCGUGGGAAUGGACACUGCAUGGGGUGAAAUGAUGAGCUCAAUAACCAGUGAUAAAAAUGAAAGAACACCACUACAAACUCGACUGGACAAACUAACCUCUUCUAUUGGAAAGGUAGGUCUUGCCGUUGCCUUUCUGGUUCUUGUAGUCUUAUUAAUUCGUUAUUUUACUGGGAAUACAGAAGAUGACAAUGGGAAUAAGGAGUAUAUCGGUAGCAAGACCGAUGUAGACGAUAUCUUAAAUGCGGUUGUUCGAAUUGUUGCUGCUGCAGUAACUAUUGUGGUUGUGGCAAUCCCAGAAGGUCUACCAUUGGCUGUCACUCUUACACUAGCCUACUCAAUGAAAAGAAUGAUGGCUGAUCAGGCAAUGGUCAGAAAACUUUCUGCUUGUGAAACAAUGGGCUCAGCUACAAUUAUUUGUACUGACAAAACUGGCACCUUGACACUGAAUCAGAUGAAAGUGACCCAGUUUUGGCUCGGGGAAGAGGCCAUUGAGGAAGAUCUUGCCAACAUAAUUGCCCCAAGUGUUCUUGAAUUAUUCUACCAAGGAGUUGGCUUGAACACAACUGGUAGUGUUU
rnacentral:lncRNA from 1 species